rnacentral:rRNA from 1 species
ACAGCAGUAGCCGCGGGAAUACGAAGGGGGCUAGCGUUGUUCGGAAUUACUGGGCGUAAAGCGCACGUAGGCGGACAUUUAAGUCAGGGGUGAAAUCCCGGGGCUCAACCCCGGAACUGCCUUUGAUACUGGGUGUCUAGAGUAUGGAAGAGGUGAGUGGAAUUCCGAGUGUAGAGGUGAAAUUCGUAGAUAUUCGGAGGAACACCAGUGGCGAAGGCGGCUCACUGGUCCAUUACUGACGCUGAGGUGCGAAAGCGUGGGGAGCAAACAGGAUUAGAUACCCCGGUAGUCCCUGUCUCUUAUAC